UACGGAGGGGACAAGCGUUGUUCGGAUUUACUGGGCGUAAAGGGCGCGUAGGCGGGCCUUCAAGUCGGCUGUGAAAUCUCUGGGCUUAACCCAGAGUCUGCACUCGAUACUGUAGGUCUUGAGUACCGGAGAGGAUGAUAGAAUUCCAGGUGUAGCGGUGAAAUGCGUAGAUAUCUGGAAGAAUACCAGUAGCGAAGGCGGUCAUCUGGACGGAUACUGACGCUAAAGCGCGAAGGCUUGGGGAGCAAACAGG
rnacentral:rRNA from 1 species